CCUACGGGAGGCAGCAGUGAGGAAUAUUGGUCAAUGGGCGCGAGCCUGAACCAGCCAAGUAGCGUGAAUGAUGACUGCCCUACGGGUUGUAAACUUCUUUUAUAAAGGAAUAAAGUGAGGCACGUGUGCCUUUUUGUAUGUAUUUUAUGAAUAAGGAUCGGCUAACUCCGUGCCAGCAGCCGCGGUAAUACGGAGGUACCGAGCGUUAUCCGGAUUUAUUGGGUUUAAAGGGAGCGUAGAUGGGUUGUUAAGUCAGUUGUGAAAGUUUGCGGCUCAACCGUAAAAUUGCAAUUGAUACUGGCAGACUUGAGUGCAGUUGAGGUAGGCGGAAUUCGUGGUGUAGCGGUGAAAUGCUUAGAUAUCACGAAGAACACCGAUUGCGAAGGCAGCCUACUAAACUGCCACUGACAUUGAUGCUCGAAAGUGUGGGUAUCAAACAGGAUUAGAUACCCCUGUAGUC
rnacentral:rRNA from 1 species